UGCUUGUGUCUAAAAGAAUGAUUGCAUAUAAGAAACAUUCACACAUCAAAGAAGGAAAGGCUGACAAAUGAACACUAUGGAUUCCAGAACCAGGGACAACUGAUUCCAAGGUUUUAAAUAUCACAGACUUCUAUACUAGAAGAGACAUGCAUGAUAAAUAUGUUGAACAGUAGUCUGGAAAAUACCACAGCCAAACUUGGAUCUUUAAUGCUCUCCAAAGUAAAUGCUCUUGAACCAAGUCAUACUUACUGUACAUUUUUCUCUUGGCUACUGUUUUAAGUUACUUUCAGACACAAAAAGGAAAAGCAUUGAGGAGUCAAUUGUCUACAGGAUUUAUGUCAACAAGCAGUGAAAGCUCAUUAAAUACUUAUUAAUCCAUACAAAAUCAGUCUUGGCUGACAGAUUUUUGUUGGCUGUCUGUAUUGACUGGGUCCAUAGUAUAAUUACCACACAGUUGAAACAUGCAAGGGUAUCGGUCCCUUAAAAAAAUAAUGCCAGCAUGGCUGCUUGUAUGUGUUGCUUUUAUUUCCACUAUGUAAGUUCUCACCAAAUUUCACAAAUAGGACGCUAACAGAUAUUGAGCCUUGAAACUACACACGUGGAAACUAGAGCAAUUCUCUCUCUCCUGGUGAAACCCUGGACCAAUCUCCAGUUGUAACUUGUGAAGAGAAUGAAAGGAGAAAGGAGACCUCUACCCCCAGACCAUAACUGCUAAAUUGAGUGAAUAAAAGCAGACAGAAGGAAACGGCCUGGCCUGCUUUCUGGAGGCUACACUGAGAGUCCAGUCAGGGUGAUAGUUUCAAUGGGAAAGCUGGUUUAUGAUGGAGACUCAGUGAUUUUUUUCUGGAUUUUCUCCUGCCUAAGUCAUUUGAGUUCAGAAAACCCUGCAAAAGAGGAGGCAGGAAGAAUGUAAGAGCCAGAGAGACCAAGAAAAUAAAGCUCUCUAAAUCUACAUGACAGAAGCUCACGUGGACUCACAGAGAUGGAAGCAGCAAGCACAGGGCUGCACAAGGUUUUCUCUGGACAUAUUAUGGCUUCCAGGUUAUAUUUUUAUGAGAUACCUGAGCGAUGAAUGAGUGAAUGGGUCUCUGAUUCUUAUGCCUUCUCUUGGGUUCUUUUAUUUCUACUGGUUUGUCUUGUGCAAAUUCAGUGUGAUAGCUUUUGUUUCAUCAGAUAUUUCAUUUCGUUAUUUUAUUAUUAUCUCCAAGAAGCCUGUUCUUUUCUAAUUAAAAAAAAAAAAGCAAAAAAAAAAAAACAACAUGCUACAUAAAACUAUAAAUUGCAUGCUUUAAGAGCAGGGCCAACAGUGGAGGUGGAUUAAUUCCACUGAAGAGCAAGAAGAAAGAGAAGAGAGAAGAAUAGAGGAGGCUCACAAAUGAAGAGAAAGCGCGAGCUUUGAAGGGUGAAGACUGAGGCUCAGAAGAAAAGGUAUGGUAAAUGAAGGUUCAGAGAAGACGGGAGGAUAAGGGUACUGAUUGAGUCUAUGUACACAUCAUGUGAUAGGCAGUGUUCUAGAGCAUUAGAGCAGUGUUCUGGUUGAGUGUCUGUGCCCCUCGAGAAGCCUAGUGGAGGAGAAAAACAAAUCUUGAAUUCUAUAACAUACUCAGGAGGAAAGAGUCUCUGAAGGAAGCUGAGAUGAACCUGUCACAUGGGCGGUAAAUAAAUUCUCACGUAGAAAUAACAUUUUGAGAGGGGACUUGGAGGGAGUAGCGGUAUGGCUCCUGGAAAAGCAAUGUGCUAGACAGAACAGCAAAUGAGAAGGUUUCAAGGUGAGUAUGGGCCUGAAGGAGCCAAGAGGCCAUUGUGGGGACAACAGUGAGUUGAGGUACUUUGUGGAAGACAUCUGAAUGUGAGGUGGAGCUGUGAGGGGGACGGGAAGGCCUCGAUGUUCUGAGCAUAGAUGUACAGCAGACAAUGUUUGCAUGGGACCUUGCCAACGAUUAUUUUAGGAACGUAUAUAUUUAUCCCACUUUAGGUUUUACUACCAAGUGUUCCCACAAAAUGCAGCUUAAUUCCUCAUUUUCUUGGUGAAGGAACUGAACUUGAAGAAGUUAGAAUCAUUUCGUUAGUGAGGACUGGAAAUAAACCAUCGUGGGCAAGAGCCGUUCUGAUAAGGCCCCACGCGGGACGCAUAGCUGCAUUCAAAUGAGAGGGGACUGGUAGUUAGGGUGGUUGAAAUAAUAAAUGCCUGCUCUCUGAUCACCUCCCCCUGAGGGGGGAGCAGCCUUACCAGGCCACAGAAGAUGACAAUGCAGCCACUCCUGAGGAGAUCUGAGAUUCUAAGAUCAGAAGGAAGGAGAGGAGGACCUCCCCUUACA